GGGUGCGUUCAUACCAGCACUAAAGCACCGGAUCCCAUCAGAACUCCGAAGUUAAGCGUGCUUGGGCGAGAGCAGUACUAGGAUAGGUGACCUCCUGGGAAGUCCUCGUGUUGCACCCC
rnacentral:rRNA from 1 species